CUAAGUUUGAUGGCGACCGGCGCACGGGUGAGUAACACGUAUCCAACCUGCCGAUGACUCGGGGAUAGCCUUUCGAAAGAAAGAUUAAUACCCGAUGGCANAAUAGAACCGCAUGGUUUGAUUAUUAAAGAAUUUCGGUUAUCGAUGGGGAUGCGUUCCAUUAGGCAGUUGGUGGGGUAAUGGCCCACCAAACCUUCGAUGGAUAGGGGUUCUGAGAGGAAGGUCCCCCACAUUGGAACUGAGACACGGUCCAAACUCCUACGGGAGGCAGCAUG
rnacentral:rRNA from 1 species